rnacentral:rRNA from 1 species
AACGCUGGCGGCGUGCUUAACACAUGCAAGUCGAACGCGAAAGGGGGGCUUGCUCCCUGAGUAGAGUGGCGCACGGGUGAGUAACGCGUGGGUAAUCUACCCUAAUGUGGGGGAUAACUAUCCGAAAGGGUGGCAAUACCGCAUGAGACCACGGAGUCCUCGGGCUCUGAGGCCAAAGAUUGCAUCGGCUUGCCGGUGCCGUCGCAAUAGGAUGAGCCCGCGUACGAUUAGCUAGUUGGUGAGGUAAUGGCUCACCAAGGCUACGAUCGUUAGCUGGUCUGAGAGGAUGGCCAGCCACACUGGAACUGGAACACGGUCCAGACUCCUACGGGAGGCAGCAGUGAGGAAUAUUGCGCAAUGGGGGAAACCCUGACGCAGCAACGCCGCGUGGGUGAAGAAGGCCUUCGGGUCGUAAAGCCCUUUCGGACGGGACGAACGUCUUGCGGGGAAACUCGUGAGGCUUGACGGUACCGUAAGAAGAAGCACCGGCUAACCCCGUGCCAGCAGCCGCGGUAAUACGGGGGGUGCAAGCGUUGUUCGGAAUUACUGGGCGUAAAGCGCGUGUAGGCGGCCCUGCAAGUCAGAUGUGAAAGCCCUCGGCUUAACCGGGGAAGUGCAUCUGAUACUGCUUGGCUUGAGUACUGGAGAGGAAGGCGGAAUUCCCAGUGUAGAGGUGAAAUUCGUAGAUAUUGGGAGGAACACCGGUGGCGAAAGCGGCCUUCUGGACAGAUACUGACGCUGAGACGCGAAAGCGUGGGGAGCAAACAGGAUUAGAUACCCUGGUAGUCCACGCUGUAAACGAUGGGCACUAGGUGUGGGGGGUAUCCACUCCUCCCGUGCCGCAGCUAACGCAUUAAGUGCCCC